rnacentral:rRNA from 1 species
CAUGAAGUCGGAAUUGCUAGUAAUCGCGGAUCAGCAUGCCGCGGUGAAUACGUUCCCGGGCCUUGUACACACCGCCCGUCACACCAUGGGAGCCGGUAAUACCCGAAGUCAGUAGUCUAACCGCAAGGAGGACGCUGCCGAAGGUAGGAUUGGCGACUGGGGUGAAGUCGUAACAAGGUAAC